CUCUCCUCUGAGCAGGGGCCCGCCAUGCUCCCUGAGCCCUUCGCUGACCACUGUCCCAGGCUGUCGCACAAAUCCAGGCAGUCACUUCUAGAGCAGUGCCAAAGAUUAGCAUCAGGGAUUUUGAAUUCCACUUUCUGUUACUACACGUUGAGCAACUGGAAGAAAACAGAUUAACUUCGGUUCCCUGUUCCACGUUGCUCUUUAUGUUCUGUGAAAGGAUAGCCGGAAACCUGAGCAGGCGUGUGUUUACUACGCAGCACUGGACUUGGAGUGGAAGGAGCAACCUGGCCUUGGCACGAACACUAGGAACAUUUUUGCCCGAGAUGAAAGGUGCAGGACCACACUACCAGCUGACGAGAAAGUCACUCACCUGGAUCAGGAGUCAGUGAACUUUUCCUCUGCAGGACAAAAUAGAUAUAGCAGCAUAUUCCAAGACUGCACCAAAGGCGAACCAUGGACACCAGUCUUCCAUAAAUACAAACCGCUUAAGCAGUAAGCACGUGUAUACCAAUGAGACUGAAGAAACCUGAGGACUUUGAAGUCACACCGCAAAACCCUUCACCAUUGUUCUGGGAGAUGAUGGGCACAGACGUCUUUCCCUGAGAAUACCUCCUGGACUGAAGGAAAGGAAAGUCCACAGACACCAGGAACAAUUUUCUAACACCAUUGAGGCGGUGUGUGUUGUGUGAUUACUGUACAGUUUAUAUAUGGUUACAACCCUGUGAGUUUUAUAUGGUUGUUUUAGAAUAUGAGCACCUGGUCUUUGAAUAAAAUUUCCCCUGUAAAUAGUGGA